GUGAGGAAUAUUGCGCAAUGGAGGCAACUCUGACGCAGCCAUGCCGCGUGCAGGAAGAAGGCGCUACGCGUUGUAAACUGCUUUUAACCGGGAAGAAACCCCAGGACGUGUCCUGGGUUGACGGUACCGGAGGAAUAAGCACCGGCUAACUUCGUGCCAGCAGCCGCGGUAAUACGAAGGGUGCAAGCGUUAUCCGGAUUCAUUGGGUUUAAAGGGUGCGUAGGCGGAGCGUUAAGUCAGUGGUGAAAUCCUGCAGCUUAACUGUAGACUUGGCAUUGAUACUGGCGCUCUUGAGUGCGCUUGAAGUGGGCGGAAUGUGCCGUGUAGCGGUGAAAUGCUUAGAUAUGGCACAGAACACCAAUUGCGAAGGCAGCUCACUAAGGCGAUACUGACGCUGAGGCACGAAAGCGUGGGGAUCGAACAGGAUUAGAUACCCCUGUAGUCC
rnacentral:rRNA from 1 species